rnacentral:rRNA from 1 species
UACGAAGGGGGCUAGCGUUGCUCGGAAUCACUGGGCGUAAAGGGCGCGUAGGCGGGCCUUUAAGUCAGGGGUGAAAUCCUGGAGCUCAACUCCAGAACUGCCUUUGAUACUGAAGAUCUUGAGUUCGGGAGAGGUGAGUGGAACUGCGAGUGUAGAGGUGAAAUUCGUAGAUAUUCGGAAGAACACCAGUGGCGAAGGCGGCUCACUGGCCCGAUACUGACGCUGAGGCACGAAAGCGUGGGGAGCAAACAGG